GCGAAGUGACGAAAUCGAAUUAAUGGGGAUUCUCAUCUUCAUUCUUUCAUCAACCAGGUAAGUUCAAUUCCACAUUCAAAUAUUCAAUGUCGAUUAGGUAGAGAUCAAUAGAUCAUCCAGAACAAGGAGAUCGAAACAAAUCGUUGAGAUCGAGCAAAUAUCUCUAGUUAAUUAGGCCCCAAUGCAAGGCAUCGACAGUCAAGAGAAUUAAUGUCGCGCCGUCGCGCGCACACAAACGCACAGCCAGUCGACCAGCUAUACACUAGUUGGAACAAGACGACGACGAGUCGUCGCCGUUGCGACGACGGUCACCGGCGGCCGCCGCCGCCCCCC
rnacentral:lncRNA from 1 species